UCUGAUUAAUUUUUCAUGAGUCUGUAUAUGCAGAAUCUAAUGCAGAAAUAAAGACCUCAAAUGUAAUUUGAGUAUAACACAUAUAGAGAGAAACAGGCAUAGAUAGAUACAUACAUAUACAUGCACAUAUACAAUCAUUCAUAUACAACUUCCAUGAACAUAUGGUACCUGACUUGGUAAAAUCACAGAUUUUAUUGGUUCUCCUAACUUAAUAUUAGUCAAUGUUUAAUUGUGGCCCCAACUAGUCUUUUAAUUUCUUCAUCAAAAAUGCUCAUAAAAGCACUAAAGAUGUCCAUACAAUAGUCAUAUGAACUAUGCUUUCUACUUUCGUGUUGGCAAAACUUGAAAAAAAGCAAAACCUGUACGAGAUAUACAAUAUGCAGUUUCGAGCAUAAUUAUAUCCAUUUGCAGGCACAAACCCAAUGAGUGAUACAGCAGGCAGAAGAGCCCCUGAUACAGUUUGUCUGUAUCCUCACCCAAAUCUCAACUUGAAUUGUUUUCAUCUUCCAGAAUUCCCGUGUGUUGUGGGAGGGACCCAGGGGGAGGUCACUGAAUCAUGGGGACCGGUCUUUCCUGUGCUAUUCUUAUGAUAGUGAAUAAGUCUCACGAGAUCUGAUGGGUUUAUCAGGGGUUUCAACUUUUGCUUCUUACUCAUUUUUCUCCUGCCGCUGCCACGUAAGAAGUGCCUUCUGCCUCCCACCAUGAUUUUGAGGCCUCCCCAGCCAUGUGGAACUGUAAGUCCAAUUAAACCUCUUUGUUUUCCCAAUCUCAGGUAUGUCUUUGUCAGUGGCAUGAAAACAGACUAAUACAGCCCUCAACAUCUAAAACCUUUUUUCUCUCUCCCCUUCAGCCACAGGGAAUAUCGUUGCAUAUGUAUAGUAUGAUUGUAUUCGAAUUCAAAGUCUAGUCCUUGGCUAAGAACAUGGUCCAACUUAGAACCAUGGACAUGAUAGUAUAAAACUCUUCAUACCAGUAAACAGAUCUCAAACUGAGUGAAAAAAACACAAUCAUAGAUGCCAACACUGAGAUGAGAAAGAUUUUAAAGCACCUAAUAAAGAUGCUUCGAUGGACAAUUAUAAAUACUUUUGAAACAUAAAGAGAAAACAUAAAGGCUCAACAAUGAAAUGGAAGAUGUAAAGUUUAGAACUGAAAGAUACAACCAAAAUAAAAAGUUCAAUGGAUGGGCUUUUCCGUGGCAGAAUGGAAGGGACAAAGAAAAGAGUCAGUGAUCUGAAAGAACCACAGAAACUACCCAAUCUGAACAACAACAAAAUACACUGGGGGGAGGGGAGGAAAAAGCAAAGUCUCAAGGACCCGUAGGACUAUAAAAAAUGAUGUCAUGGCACUGGAGUUCUGCAAGGAGAGAAGAAAGAGCAUGGCUUAAAAAGUAUUCAAAGAAAUAACAGCCAAAUAUAUCCCAAAUUUAACAAGCUACAUCAACCAAGAUUCAAGAAGCUGAACAAGCUCCAAACAGGAUUAAUGCCUUCAAAAAACACUCUGAGACAUGUUAUAAUUAAACUUAUGAAAGCUGAAGAAAAAAAUCUUGAAAGCAGUCAGAGGAAAAAAAAAAAAAAAAAAAAGACACCUUACCCAUAGGGGGAAAUCAGUCUGAAUAACAGAUUUGUCAUUAGAAACAAUGGAGGCUACCUGGAAGUGGCAAAAUAUUUUUUAAAUGCUGAAAGAAAAGAACAGUCCAUCCCAGAACCCUAGACUCAGGAAAACGCCGCCUUCAAAAAUAAAGAAGAAAUGAAGACAUUCUCAGAUGAAGGAACACUGAAAAUCUGUCAUCAGCAGAUUUAUCCUAAAAGAAUGGCUAAAGGAAGUUUUCUAAACAGAGGAAAUGAUAAAAGGAACCCUGAAACAUCAUGAAGGAAGAACACAGAUUUCCUCCAUGGGUCUUCUAUGGAAGAUUCUGUCCAUCCCACUGGUUUAUGGUGGCGCCUCUCUAUAUCAGACUAUGCUUUCAAGUGUCCCAGGUGGAUCCAGACACCCUAGAUGCAAAUAAUGUCCCUGUCACUUAGCAGCUACGUCAUUUUGGGCAAGUGCCUCAUUUCUUUACAUACAAAAUGGGACAAUAGCAUCUGCUUCAUGGACUGUCAGGAGAUAACGCUGGUAGAUGUAAUGGUUAAACAGAUGGGCUCUACCAACUCUGCCAUGAACUAGCUGUGUGAUCUACUGGCACUGAAGCUAUUCAAGUCUCAGUUUCCUGCCUAUAAAAUGACAUAGGAGGCACUACUAUAUGGAUUGCUGUAAAGCCUAUUGAUUCACCAAGAAUGCUACUGUGGCUUCCUCCUCUGAAAACACCACCCACCUUCAAAUCUCUGAGUAAGAUCUUGCUCAAUUUCAUCGAAUCCUGCUGCUC